rnacentral:rRNA from 1 species
GCAACGAGCGCAACCCUUGUCUUUAAUUGCCAUCAUUGAGUUGGGCACUUUAAAGAGACUGCCGGUGUUAAACCGGAGGAAGGUGGGGAGUGACGUCAAGUCCUCAUGGCCUUUAUGCCCACGGGCGUACACACGCGCUACAAUGGGUGGUACAAAGAGCAGCCAGCUCGCGAGAGUGAGCAAAUCUCAAAAAGCCAUCCUCAGUUCGGAUUGAAGUCUGCAACUCGACUUCAUGAAGUUGGAAUCGCUAGUAAUCGCGGAUCAGCAUGCCGCGAUGAAUACGUUCCCGGGCCUU